rnacentral:pre_miRNA from 1 species
GUGUUCGUUUUUCUCCCUCAAAGGCUUCCAACAACAGUCGGAAUUAACUCUGAUGCGGCCAUUAUCACUGGUUGCAGUGAAUUAUUCUAGUUCUGCUGUUGGAAGCCUUCGUGGGAGACGAAAGAACC